rnacentral:sRNA from 24 species
GAUGUGGAGUGUAAAAACCAUUGCUAGUAGUGGCUAAACCCACGAGAGCAUACACGAAGAAACAGCAA